CAGUAGCCGCGGUAAUACGUAGGUGGCAAGCGUUGUCCGGAAUUAUUGGGCGUAAAGGGCUCGCAGGCGGUUUCUUAAGUCUGAUGUGAAAGCCCCCGGCUCAACCGGGGAGGGUCAUUGGAAACUGGGAAACUUGAGUGCAGAAAAGGAGAGUGGAAUUCCACGUGUAGCGGUGAAAUGCGUAGAGAUGUGGUGGAACACCAGUGGCGAAGGCGACUCUCUGGUCUGUAACUGACGCUGAGGAGCGAAAGCGUGGGGAGCGAACAGGAUUAGAUACCCGAGUAGUCCCUGUCUCUUAUAA
rnacentral:rRNA from 1 species